CUUGAAACACGGACCAAGGAGUCUAACAUGUGCGCGAGUCAUUGGGUUGCAAACCUAAAGGCGGAAUGAAAGUAAAGAGAGCUUUGCUUUUCUGAGGGAGGAUGGUCGCGCUGCUCUUGAGGCGGCGGCCCGCACUCCCGGGGCGUCUAUUGCUCAUAGCGAGCGGAGGCGCACCAAGAGCGUACACGUUAGGACCCGAAAGAUGGUGAACUAUGCCUGGUCAGGACGAAGCCAGGGGAAACCCUGGUGGAGGUCCGUAGCGAUUCUGACGUGCAAAUCGAUCGUCGGAGCUGGGUAUAGGGGCGAAAGACUAAUCGAACCAUCUAGUAGCUGGUUCCCUCCGAAGUUUCCCUCAGGAUA
rnacentral:rRNA from 1 species